UCAAUUCUAUUGUUUAAGCCAUUUUCUCUGCUUGGGAAGACUUGUCACUGUCAUCUGUCAGGCAAAGUCCACUCAUCCCUUAUGACCUAAUACAAAUGAUGCUUCUUCUGUGAAGCCUUCCCUGCCCUCCCCAGGGAGAUAAUCACUCUCCUCUCUGCUUUCACAUGUAUUAUGGCAUGUCUCUUUAUAUGUUGGUCUCUCCCAAAUGUCUUAGAAGAUUCGUGGGGCAAUCUGAUUGAGGAAGAGGUAUCCUAGAAACAUCUACUGAUGAACAAAAAUAUCAGAAGUACGGAAUUUGGACUGUCUGAACCGUAAACAAACAAACAAACAAAAAGGCAGAAAUCUACUCUUAGAACACAUGAUACUAAGCACCUUACUGCAAGAGUGUAAAGAAAUAAAAGAGGACAAGAAAAGAUGUUUUCCCAUCCCUGACAUUUUCUGGUCCAGCAAGGACAAGCUGAAAAGCUGAUUAACAAGCUUCCCAGGAGACAGAUUCAACUGGCAUCUAGGGAUGAGAGGGCUUAUCUUCUUAUUUUUGGUUAAGGUGCUUUGCACACCUCUACAUGGAACACGCUCCCCCAUCUCUCCAUUGGGACAACUCUUACUCUUCCCUGAUGUUCAUCUUAAAUGUCACUGCCUCAGAAAAGCUUCACCUGUUCUUUCAACCUAAAAUGCAGACAACCAAAGAGGUUUGAGAAAAUCUGCUGAUGCCCACCCAGCAUCCGGUUAAGCAGACAAGGUAUAGUAAACAAACCAACAGGAACAGGAAGAGAGUAGCUACCUCAGAAUAUAGAUAUAAAUCAAUAUCUUCACAAAGUCACUCUUCCUUUCAAAAGCUUCAAAACAAGAACUUCUUCUCAUCUAUUUUAUUUAUCUCAUUUGUGCCCUACUUAAUAGAUAUUGAUUUGAUAGGCAUGUGCCAUUUAAAUAGAAAAUAUAAAAUGAAUAUUCUAAUUGUAAUUGAAGAAUGCCAACUUAAUCCAGAAGUUCCCUGUGUAUAAAAGACCUUCCAAAAAUUGUCUGUAUCCCUUCCUUCUCUCUCACUGUCUGGGGAGAACCUGAUUCUGGGGCAGAAGCCAUGCAGCCCAAGAGGACACAUGCCGCUGAAAUGGUUCUCUGGAAUCUACCACUGGCCAGAUGUCUCAGGUCCUGAGAAAACUCAAACACCAUCUAAAAGUUUCCACUGGAUGACUGAGACCAUUAAAUUUUCUUUUGAGAAAUAUG